rnacentral:rRNA from 1 species
GAUGAACGCUGGCGGCGUGCCUAAUACAUGCAAGUCGAGCGAAUGGAUUAAGAGCUUGCUCUUAUGAAGUUAGCGGCGGACGGGUGAGUAACACGUGGGUAACCUGCCCAUAAGACUGGGAUAACUCCGGGAAACCGGGGCUAAUACCGGAUAACAUUUUGAACCGCAUGGUUCGAAAUUGAAAGGCGGCUUCGGCUGUCACUUAUGGAUGGACCCGCGUCGCAUUAGCUAGUUGGUGAGGUAACGGCUCACCAAGGCAACGAUGCGUAGCCGACCUGGGAGGGUGAGGAGCCACACUGGGACUGAGACACGGCCCAGACUCCUCCGGGAGGCAGCAGUAGGGAAUCAUCCGCAAUGGACGAAAGUCUGACGGAGCAACGCCGCGUGAGUGAUGAAGGCUUUCGGGUCGUAAAACUCUGUUGUUAGGGAAGAACAAGUGCUAGUUGAAUAAGCUGGCACCUUGACGGUACCUAACCAGAAAGCCACGGCUAACUACGUGCCAGCCGCCGCGGUAA